rnacentral:rRNA from 1 species
ACAGAGGGUGCGAGCGUUGUUCGGAAUUACUGGGCGUAAAGCGCGCGCAGGCGGCUUUCUAAGUCCGACGGUCAAAUGCCGGGGCUCAACCCCGCGCGUGCCGCGGAUACUGGGAGGCUGGAGACAGGUAGAGGCAAGCGGAAUUCCGGGUGUAGCGGUGGAAUGCGUAGAGAUCCGGAGGAAGACCGGUGGCGAAGGCGGUCUGCUGGGCAGUUUCUGACACUGAUGCGCGACAGCGUGGGGAGCAAACAGGA